UUCACACAGCCACACAGCCAGGAAGGGGUGAAGCCUGAGAUAACAACCUAGGCAGUCAGGCUCCUUAUGCCAUGGCCGUGACUCUCCUCUGCCUGUGUUUUUGAGUUGAAGCCUGGAUGACCAGGCAUCAUGCGUGCAUAGAUCCACAGUGUUCAGAUGCUCUGAGCAGGUAAAACCCUGCGGUGGAGAUGUGUUCUGCCUGUCGAGAUCACAAAGAGUGCCACUGGGGACUGAAACCAUAUCAGGGUCAUAUGUUGAAAUGCUUGAUCCCCAGCAGGUGGCCCAGUGUCAGAAUGUUGUGGAACCCUUGGGACAUGGUGUUACAAAACCCCAAAACUUAACAAGACUGAUGCCAAGAAGGAACUGCCAUUCAGGUCUCAGAACCCAUACCUGUCAGAAGAGAACGAAGAUCCAUCAAGUCAAUAGUUCUACGAAAGUCUCUAAAUGUACUAACUUUGCUUUUUGACUCCUGUAGUUCUGCUUCUGGCUAAUUGUUCUUGCUACCUGAGGUGUGUCAACCUAGGAUGUGGUUUUGUGCUCAAAAGCUCACCCUAAGAAAGGCUCAGGAAUGCAGUUGGAUUCCCAACACUCAGUGUAGUAGCUAGCUGGCUAAUAAAGACUUCCUAAUGCCUUGAA